rnacentral:misc_RNA from 1 species
AAGUCGUAACAAGGUCUCCGUAGGUGAACCUGCGGAGGGAUCAUUACUGAGUGAGGGCCUUCGGGCUCGACCUCCAACCCUUUGUGAACACAACUUGUUGCUUCGGGGGCGACCCUGCCGUUUCGACGGCGAGCGCCCCCGGAGGCCUUCAAACACUGCAUCUCUGCGUCGGAGUUUAAGUAAAUUAAACAAAACUUUCAACAACGGAUCUCUUGGUUCUG